AGAACCUCACUGGCUUUGCUCGUGGACUGCGGAUCUCCUGAUGUUUGCAAGGGGAAGAGGACUGCCCGCAGCUUCUGCACCGACACAGUGGUGCCAAUUUGUUAGCAGCUUGGUGACAAGCACAGAUAAGCCCCAGCAAGGAACUGGCCCAUUGCACAAGACCAGCAAAACUGGCUGGUCAGGCCUUUAACCACUCACCCAUGGCCAAAAUGAGCCCUGGACCGUUCCAGCAAACGCAGCAUGACGGCACCGUUGGAGCCGAGCAGAGCCUGCGCCUCAGUGCCCGCAGUGCGAGCUCUGCCUCGAUGGAGAUGCGGAGCAUCAGCCUCAGCCCUUGAGACAGAGCACAAAAAUGCAUGUGGGAACAUUUGGAAAGCGUGCGGGAUGCAUUUCUUCUGCAUGUGUAACAUUUUCUCCGAAUUCAGUUUCACAACCCAGCAUUUCCUUCUGUAAAUAUUUGGACAGAUUUCACAGAGGCUCAAACUCGUAAGAAACAGAAGGAAAAAAAAAAAGACGGGAAAGAUAGGAGAGAAAGAGCAGAAAAAGAGAAAGAGGAGAUGGAGGGAAGGAUCAGCGAUGGAAGGUCACAGCAAGCUGUGCGUGAACAGCAUAGAAUUACCGAUGAGUCACACUACGAUGAAAACAGUAUUUUUAAUGCAUUUAAACCCCGAAAUAGAACCUUUUUGCUGGUGUUUGUUGUGCUGGAAGCGCCUCGGGUUCUGCGUGCGAAGGGAUGGCGUACUUUCAUGGAGGACAAGUCCUGGGUAUAGAUGUACUGCUGAGGAACGAGAAGACACGUGGCACCUCCUGGCCUGAAAGCCAAGAGAUGGAGUGCUCUGCUACGGACCGACCCGGCUCUGCUCUGUCCUCGUAGGUGAUGUGCUCCAUCCCUUGGGUCAUUUUUGUGGCCCUCCUCUGGACAACAGGUCCGCAUCUCUCCUGUACUGAGCACUCCACACCUGAACACAGUGCUCCAGGUGAGGCUUCAAAAGGGCCACAGUUCUCAUGUUCUCAGACUACAGAGUAACGCUGUGCCUUAAGAGUACACUUCAUAAGAAGAUAUAAAAAAUACAGAGCCGUACAAAGGAAGCCAGGCAUGAAGAAGUGCCAGUGUACCUUACAUGAACACGCUCCGUCUGAGCCUCUCAGUAUUCAUCUAUUUUCUGUGCUUUCUUAGAAUGAGCUUCCAAACUGUUUAUAGCCAGUCUUGGUGUUUAAUAUGUAACUGCUAAAAAAGAUCCCCAUAUCAGUAAAUACAGAACUG
ensembl:lncRNA